CGGGACACGUGGUAUCCUGUCUGAAUAUGGGGGGACCAUCCUCCAAGGCUAAAUACUCCUGACUGACCGAUAGUGAACCAGUACCGUGAGGGAAAGGCGAAAAGAACCCCGGCGAGGGGAGUGAAAAAGAACCUGAAACCGUGUACGUACAAGCAGUGGGAGCACGCUUAGGCGUGUGACUGCGUACCUUUUGUAUAAUGGGUCAGCGACUUAUAUUCUGUAGCAAGGUUAACCGAAUAGGGGAGCCGAAGGGAAACCGAGUCUUAACUGGGCGUUAAGUUGCAGGGUAUAGACCCGAAACCCGGUGAUCUAGCCAUGGGCAGGUUGAAGGUUGGGUAACACUAACUGGAGGACCGAACCGACUAAUGUUGAAAAAUUAGCGGAUGACUUGUGGCUGGGGGUGAAAGGCCAAUCAAACCGGGAGAUAGCUGGUUCUCCCCGAAAGCUAUUUAGGUAGCGCCUCGUGAAUUCAUCUCCGGGGGUAGAGCACUGUUUCGGCAAGGGGGUCAUCCCGACUUACCAACCCGAUGCAAACUGCGAAUACCGGAGAAUGUUAUCACGGGAGACACACGGCGGGUGCUAACGUCCGUCGUGAAGAGGGAAACAACCCAGACCGCCAGCUAAGGUCCCAAAGUCAUGGUUAAGUGGGAAACGAUGUGGGAAGGCCCAGACAGCCAGGAUGUUGGCUUAGAAGCAGCCAUCAUUUAAAGAAAGCGUAAUAGCUCACUGGUCGAGUCGGCCUGCGCGGAAGAUGUAACGGGGCUAAACCAUGCACCGAAGCUGCGGCAGCGACGCUGAUGCGUUGUUGGGUAGGGGAGCGUUCUGUAAGCCUGUGAAGGUGUGCUGUGAGGCAUGCUGGAGGUAUCAGAAGUGCGAAUGCUGACAUAAGUAACGAUAAAGCGGGUGAAAAGCCCGCUCGCCGGAAGACCAAGGGUUCCUGUCCAACGUUAAUCGGGGCAGGGUGAGUCGACCCCUAAGGCGAGGCCGAAAGGCGUAGUCGAUGGGAAACAGGUUAAUAUUCCUGUACUUGGUGUUACUGCGAAGGGGGGACGGAGAAGGCUAUGUUGGCCGGGCGACGGUUGUCCCGGUUUAAGCGUGUAGGCUGGUUUUCCAGGCAAAUCCGGAAAAUCAAGGCUGAGGCGUGAUGACGAGGCACUACGGUGCUGAAGCAACAAAUGCCCUGCUUCCAGGAAAAGCCUCUAAGCAUCAGGUAACAUCAAAUCGUACCCCAAACCGACACAGGUGGUCAGGUAGAGAAUACCAAGGCGCUUGAGAGAACUCGGGUGAAGGAACUAGGCAAAAUGGUGCCGUAACUUCGGGAGAAGGCACGCUGAUAUGUAGGUGAAGCGACUUGCUCGUGGAGCUGAAAUCAGUCGAAGAUACCAGCUGGCUGCAACUGUUUAUUAAAAACACAGCACUGUGCAAACACGAAAGUGGACGUAUACGGUGUGACGCCUGCCCGGUGCCGGAAGGUUAAUUGAUGGGGUCAGCGCAAGCGAAGCUCUUGAUCGAAGCCCCGGUAAACGGCGGCCGUAACUAUAACGGUCCUAAGGUAGCGAAAUUCCUUGUCGGGUAAGUUCCGACCUGCACGAAUGGCGUAAUGAUGGCCAGGCUGUCUCCACCCGAGACUCAGUGAAAUUGAACUCGCUGUGAAGAUGCAGUGUACCCGCGGCAAGACGGAAAGACCCCGUGAACCUUUACUAUAGCUUGACACUGAACAUUGAGCCUUGAUGUGUAGGAUAGGUGGGAGGCUUUGAAGUGUGGACGCCAGUCUGCAUGGAGCCGACCUUGAAAUACCACCCUUUAAUGUUUGAUGUUCUAACGUUGACCCGUAAUCCGGGUUGCGGACAGUGUCUGGUGGGUAGUUUGACUGGGGCGGUCUCCUCCUAAAGAGUAACGGAGGAGCACGAAGGUUGGCUAAUCCUGGUCGGACAUCAGGAGGUUAGUGCAAUGGCAUAAGCCAGCUUGACUGCGAGCGUGACGGCGCGAGCAGGUGCGAAAGCAGGUCAUAGUGAUCCGGUGGUUCUGAAUGGAAGGGCCAUCGCUCAACGGAUAAAAGGUACUCCGGGGAU
rnacentral:rRNA from 1 species